rnacentral:misc_RNA from 1 species
UAUUUUAUUUUAUUUUAUUUUAAUAGGAAUAUUUAUUAGUUAUCCAAUUUAAUUAGGAUUAGUUAUUUUCCUAUUCUAUCUAGAUUUCAUAUUGUAUUUAUGUUUAUCUAAAAGAUUUACUAUUGUAUUUAUAUUUAUCUAAAACUCCUAGGUAAUAGUUAUCUUAUUCUAAUUAGUUUUGGACUAUCAAACCCUAUCAAUAGCCCCCAUUAUAUUCAGAUUUUGUAACUUUGUUUAUUUUUUCAAUUUUCAAUAAAGCUUCUUUGCUUACUUUUAUCUCUUUCUUGUUGAGGUUUUGGAUUAACCCUUUAUUGUUCUUUGGAGAUUUGUUCUUGUGACAAUCUUUACGCCCUACAUGCUACGCCAAAUUGUGAGCUUUGUUGUUAAGCACACUCAACCUGUUUUACCUCUAGAAUCAAGUUUUAGCUGUCACGGAAAACAUUUUGACUUGAGGUGGAAGUGGCAGCAUGAACAAUUGUUGCUGAAUUCAAGAUUUCAGAGUGAUGGAAAGCACUUGGAAGACCAUUGUGAUCAAACCGUGCUAGAAAUUCAAUUGGUGGUUGGUGGUGGGCCAA